CCUACGGGAGGCAGCAGUGGGGGAUAUUGCACAAUGGGGGGAACCCUGAUGCAGCGACGCCGCGUGGGUGAAGGAGUGCUUCGGCGCGUAAAGCCCUGUCAGCAGGGAAGAAAAUGACGGUACCUGAAGAAGAAGCCCCGGCUAACUACGUGCCAGCGGCCGCGGUAAUACGUAGGGGGCAAGCGUUAUCCGGAUUUACUGGGUGUAAAGGGGGCGCAGACGGCGAUGCAAGCCAGGAGUGAAAGCCCGGGGCCCAACCCCGGGACUGCUCUUGGAACUGCGUGGCUAGAGUGCAGGAGGGGCAGGCGGAAUUCCUGGUGUAGCGGGGAAAUGCGUAGAUAUCAGGAGGAACACCGGUGGCGAAGGCGGCCUGCUGGACUGCAACUGACGUUGAGGCCCGAAAGCGUGGGGAGCAAACAGGAUUAGAUACCCCAGUAGUC
rnacentral:rRNA from 1 species